GGCCGCGGCGACCCGCGACUGGCUCCGGGAUGGGACGUGGAGCCCCCGGAGCUGCGGCGGUGGCGGCGGCGGCGCUGUGAGGAGCAGCCAGGGGGAGGCAGCUGCGGCUCGUCGAAGCCAGUAGAAACAAUGAGCUGUAGUUGGAUGCUGUCUUCUAUGACCAUUUCCCUGACCUUCCAGCGACAGCCAUCAUGAUCUACACAGCCUCUGCUCAUUCCACGUGUGUUGAAAUCUGCAUCGUUCUGACUCUACCAGGAGGAGAGGUACUCACAACCCUGCACAACAGCUUUCCUGGUGGCGAAACUGGCAUUUCAGGAUGGUGAUCGGCAGUGGCGAGGCUUUCCAAGCAACAGUGUGCAAAGCAUGUGUGGGCAAGUGGAAGCUGAAGAAGAGGAGGGAGAGUAGGAUAACACAGUGUGGGGACUGCAGUGCAUAAAUUCACAAAUGUGUGUGUGCAAAAGUCUCUUCUGAGAUGCCCAGAAUAAGUACAGUACAAGAUGCUGCAGAAGAGAGAGUUGUGCUCACACCAUUAUAUAGGUCAGGGCUAUCAAAGCAAAAGUCAUUUGAAGAAAAAGAUUGACAGGUAGUUUUGAGGGCCCAGCUGAAAAUGGAAACUAUAAAUCUGCCUCACCUGGCAGAACUAUGUGAUUUUUUUUUUUUUCUCCAGGAAAGCUCAGCAGCCCAGAAGAUGGAAAAUGUUUGUGAUUAGAUAGAUUCAGGUUGUGAGUAUGUUUAGAUGGAGCCAGAAGGAAAGCAAGAGAACAGGGGAUUUGAAGAUAAGAAUAACAAAAAGGUAACAAACAUUAUGAUGAAUUUCUUUAGGAAAGUAAAUACAAGAAGCAUGAUAUGAAAAACUAUAUAUAUAUAAUAAGGGAUUUAAAGAUAUAAGUUUUUAUCAGAGAAGGGGAUUUAGGAUGUAGUUCAGUUUACUGGAUUAUUAAUCCUGCUCCUGGCCUGAGAAGUAGUUUACUGAAGAAAAAUGAUAUGAAAUAAUUGUCAUGAUAUAUUAAGAAAUUCUGAGUGCAAUAAAGUUACGGAAAAUAAUGGAAAUUGUGCAAAUGGAGAGAAAUAAAA